rnacentral:rRNA from 1 species
CACGUAGGGGCCAAGCGUUGUCCGGAUUUAUUGGGCGUAAAGAGCUCGUAGGCGGUUCGACAAGUCGGGUGUGAAAGCCCGGGGCUUAACCCCGGGUCUGCAUUCGAUACGGGCAGGCUAGAGUGUGGUAGGGGAGAUCGGAAUUCCUGGUGUAGCGGUGAAAUGCGCAGAUAUCAGGAGGAACACCGGUGGCGAAGGCGGAUCUCUGGGCCAUUACUGACGCUGAGGAGCGAAAGCGUGGGGAGCGAACAGG